AACGAACGCUGGCGGCAUGCCUAACACAUGCGAGUCGAACGAGACCUUCGGGUCUAGUGGCGCACGGGUGCGUAACGCGUGGGAACCUGCCCUUAGGUUCGGAAUAACUCCCCGAAAGGGGUGCUAAUACCGGAUAAUGUCUUCGGACCAAAGAUUUAUCGCCUUUGGAUGGGCCCGCGUUGGAUUAGCUAGUUGGUAGGGUAAAAGCCUACCAAGGCGACGAUCCAUAGCUGGUCUGAGAGGAUGAUCCGCCACACUGGGACUGAGACACGGCCCAGACUCCUACGGGAGGCAGCAGUGGGGAAUAUUGGACAAUGGGCGAAAGCCUGAUCCAGCAAUGCCGCGUGAGUGAUGAAGGCCUUAGGGUUGUAAAGCUCUUUUACCCGGGAUGAUAAUGACAGUACCGGGAGAAUAAGCUCCGGCUAACUCCGUG
rnacentral:rRNA from 1 species